rnacentral:rRNA from 1 species
UACGUAGGGCGCGAGCGUUGUCCGGAUUAUUGGGCGUAAAGAGCUCGUAGGCGGUUUGUCGCGUCGAAUGUGAAAACCCGGGGCUCAACCCCGGGCCUGCAUUCGAUACGGGCAGACUAGAGUUCGGUAGGGGAGUCUGGAAUUCCUGGUGUAGCGGUGAAAUGCGCAGAUAUCAGGAGGAACACCGGUGGCGAAGGCGGGACUCUGGGCCGAUACUGACGCUGAGGAGCGAAAGCGUGGGGAGCAAACAGG